rnacentral:rRNA from 1 species
CUGGAAACGGUGGCUAAUACCGCAUAAUGUCGCAAGACCAAAGUGGGGGACCUUCGGGCCUCAUGCCAUCAGAUGUGCCCAGAUGGGAUUAGCUAGUAGGUGGGGUAACGGCUCACCUAGGCGACGAUCCCUAGCUGGUCUGAGAGGAUGACCAGCCACACUGGAACUGAGACACGGUCCAGACUCCUACGGGAGGCAGCAGUGGGGAAUAUUGCACAAUGGGCGCAAGCCUGAUGCAGCCAUGCCGCGUGUGUGAAGAAGGCCUUCGGGUUGUAAAGCACUUUCAGCGGGGAGGAAGGCGUUAAGGUUAAUAACCUUGGCGAUUGACGUUACCCGCAGAAGAAGCACCGGCUAACUCCGUGCCAGCAGCCGCGGUAAUACGGAGGGUGCAAGCGUUAAUCGGAAUUACUGGGCGUAAAGCGCACGCAGGCGGUCUGUCAAGUCGGAUGUGAAAUCCCCGGGCUCAACCUGGGAACUGCAUUCGAAACUGGCAGGCUAGAGUCUUGUAGAGGGGGGUAGAAUUCCAGGUGUAGCGGUGAAAUGCGUAGAGAUCUGGAGGAAUACCGGUGGCGAAGGCGGCCCCCUGGACAAAGACUGACGCUCAGGUGCGAAAGCGUGGGGAGCAAACAGGAUUAGAUACCCUGGUAGUCCACGCCGUAAACGAUGUCGAUUUGGAGGUUGUGCCCUUGAGGCGUGGCUUCCGGAGCUAACGCGUUAAAUCGACCGCCUGGGGAGUACGGCCGCAAGGUUAAAACUCAAAUGAAUUGACGGGGGCCCGCACAAGCGGUGGAGCAUGUGGUUUAAUUCGAUGCAACGCGAAGAACCUUACCUGGUCUUGACAUCCACAGAACUUUCCAGAGAUGGAUUGGUGCCUUCGGGAACUGUGAGACAGGUGCUGCAUGGCUGUCGUCAGCUCGUGUUGUGAAAUGUUGGGUUAAGUCCCGCAACGAGCGCAACCCUUAUCCUUUGUUGCCAGCGGUCCGGCCGGGAACUCAAAGGAGAC